UACGAAGGGGGCUAGCGUUGCUCGGAAUCACUGGGCGUAAAGCGCACGUAGGCGGGUUGCUAAGUCAGGGGGGAAAUCCUGGAGCUCAACUCCAGAACUGCCUUUGAUACUGGCGGCCUUGAGUCCGGGAGAGGUGAGUGGAACUGCGAGUGUAGAGGUGAAAUUCGUAGAUAUUCGCAAGAACACCAGUGGCGAAGGCGGCUCACUGGCCCGGUACUGACGCUGAGGUGCGAAAGCGUGGGGAGCAAACAGG
rnacentral:rRNA from 1 species